CCUUGAACUCGCUGUCAUGGAUGGUGAAGUAGGGACGGAAGUCGCAGCAGAACCUGAGGGGCUGCAGGCAGCUGUGGGCAGAGGCAGCAGGGAGCAGGUGAGGCAGGGGCAGCCCAGGCACAGCCGCGAUGGUCCAGCUUCCCCAGCCGGGACCGGGCCAAGGCGAUACCUGGUCAAGGCCAGCACCAUCUCCGAGGACACGUCGGGCGAGGGUGCCAGGACUAGCAGGGGCUCCCCGAGGAGCAUGAGCUCCCACAGUGUCUGCAUAUGAGUCAGCACAGGCCGGAAGCACCUGGGGCCGGGCAGGAAGGUCGGGGAGGUCAGGCAGGGGCUGAGACUCCUGGCUCUGGCCCCGCUCUCCCACCGUUCACCCAGGCUGGCCCAGGCACUGGUGAACACAGCACGCUGCUCCAGGGUGAAGACAGAUCUAUCUGAAGAUGUGUCUCGGGUAAUCAUGACGACCCCAAGCUGUGACAAUCCACCUGUGCUGGGCCUGGCCCUGGGAAUGGGGGACUCAACCUGGACCCACCUGUGAGGGACCAGCCAUCCCGAAGUGGCCCCAAAGCCGGGGCAGGGUCUGCUGACCUGGGCUGGGGGGUACCCGCCCAGACCCCUCCCGUCACCCUGUGCCCAUCCCAAGUGCAGCCCUGGCUCCUGCCGGGCCCAGCACAGAGCAGGAUGGUCUCAAAGCCCAGGCUCCCUUGCAGACUUGUCCAGAGGCAGAGAAGGCGGCCUCAGGCAGUGAAUCUCUCCUGACAGCCUCUCCUUGACACCUGUCUUUCAGAACCUCCUGCCCACUGUGCCUAUUUCCACUGGCUGCAGACAUGUGGGCACCUGCUUCCUCUUCUAGACAAUUCUCCCUCCUUCCUUCCAGAACUGUCCCAAGGGGUACUCAGGAUGAGCGCUGCCUCCCUUGGGCAGUCCCCACAUGGCGCUGGCCAUACACACACACACGUGCACACGUGCACUCACGCAGACACACACGCACACACAUACUCACACACAGAUGCACACAUGCACGUACAUGCACGUGCACACACAGUGAGCUCCUCAAAAGCAGUGUGCAGAACCCUAGGGGGCUCACCUGAACAGGUCCAGCUCGUGGACGCUAGCAAGAACCACUGGGGCUGGCAGCAGGUUCUGAGAGGAGGAGAGUGAAGGUCAGGGCCAAGGGGAGGCUGGCACCCCUUGGGCCCCAAGCAGCCCCUGCCUCACAGCACAGGGGAAGGUGGAGAGCACCCAGCCCUACACCAACACACAGCCUGUGGCUUUGCCUGGGUUUGACAACCCCGCAGGGUGAACCAAGGAAGCAGGUGUGGGACCACCCGGCCCAGGAGCAGGACUCAAUCGGGUGAAGCCCAGCUGUUUCAGCUCCACCUCCGCCUCAGCUCCCACCUCUUGGUCAAACUGCUUCGGAGGACUGGACUCGGACUUGUCCACCCUGGAUGGGAUGCGCACCUGGGAGAAGGAGGGAGCAGCUGCCAGAGGGAGUAGGGCAUCCCCACACACCUGCAGAGCCUACUCCCCAGCCAGCUGGCUCUCACCUGGACAACAACGCCCAUGACAGGCAGGGCGCCAGCUUGUCAAAGUACUCGGGGGCGAUGAGGCUUAGCAGCGCUUGGAACAGCCGGACAAAGGGCAAGCGGGACACCAGCACCAAAGACUGCAGGGCCACGGGGCCAGUUAGAGGCCCAGUGCCAGGCCUCACCCUCGCCACUCAGGAGCCCACGGGGACCACCGAAGCCACGCUCACCUGGAGCUGGCCCAGGGUAGCACGUCCCACCAACUUCACAGGACAGCUGCCCCAGGAACGCCUGACUUGGACCCCAGAAUUAUUAGACAGGAGAAAACCCAACACUGAACUCCCUGGGUGGCGGCCGGUGGGGCUGGACCCUAGGGCCUUCGGAGGGAAACGCACGGUGGCCAGAA
rnacentral:lncRNA from 1 species